AGAUCGCGGCCGCGCACUCGCUCGGUCGGAGCGGGGAACUCCCCGGAGAGCUGGUCUCUACUUGUCAUGCAAAAAAACUUGGGCAUCUCUAGGAGCCUGAGAAUUUCCUUUAAGGAUGUGGAAACGUCCUCCGUCCCCACCCCUUCCCCAUUUCCCAGAGAAUCGUUGUCUGCCUUCCUGACGAACGGAAUUGUAUAAUUAGUAGUGCCCUUAGAUUUGGAACCAGUACUCCGGAUCCCUGGCCUCUCCUCGCCCCCUGCCUCUACUCACAAUUAUGUUAUCGGUCAAGAAAAGCAAAAUCAGACUGUGGCUCCCGGCUGGGUUUCUGGAGCUUUGUAGGGUUUUACUAGCACUUUCCGUGCCCCUGCGGGCGCGCGAACUAUUCACGUGCUCGAAACGCCCGGAUUACCUUCCCUGAGGUCACUCACCAGGGUGCCCCCGGCACCCCCAGUUCGGGGACCGCGGCCCGCCCUCGCCAGGGGAUUCAAAUAGGUGUGGGCAGCGGCGCGAAGAGCAGCUGCCGGUUUCCUGGUGGGCCGCGCUGGAACCUCGGGGCGAGCUGCCACCUUCAGCCUGUGCGCUUCCCUCUCCACGGAAGGGACCGGAGUUGAAAUCACAACCAACCCUGGGAGAGCGGGGCCGGGAGGCGGGGGAAUCCCAGGCGAGUGGGAGCCGAAGCUCUGGGCUUCCUCCCCGGCCGGGCGACACCCGGGGGACACCGGGGCUCUCUCGGGCCGUUACCCUGCCUAUGUGGACUGGUGUGCACCCUCGGGGGAGGUUCCUAGGGUGCCACGGUGCCCGAGCGCGACGAGUGACUGCUGGGGAGGGGGGCCGGGUCCCGGAGCGCCUCCUCCGGGUGGUCUCCCCCCCAGCGGGGACCGCGCGCAGCACCUCGCGGGCGCCCCAGCCCCCGCACCCUGCGGAGCAGAGCCGAGCGCCCAGGACGCCGCGGGCCCCAGCGGUCCUCCCCACCCCCUGGCCGCGCCGCCGCCCUGCCCGGGGCGGAGUAAACAAGAGACGCGCAAGAUUUGACCUGGCGCGACCCGGCUUUCUGGCCGGGGUUCCCCCUGAGCAGGUGACUCCGUGGGAGGGGUGGAAAUGAGUCUCUGGAAUUCCGGGCCAAAGACAAUAACUGUGGUUCUGCUUUUAAAGCAGGUAUUUCACCAGCAACUGCGGAAUGUUUUGUGUCUCCAGUUUCAAAUUUCGCGGAAAGGGACCAAAUGUGAGGACAUAUAAAAUAUCCCCUUCUCUUUUCAUUAAAAAUGAGUGCAUUACAAAGGAAGGGCAGCCCCUUAAUGCCUGCGAGAAUAGCGCUGCUGGUUUCGUUUUUGUUUUGUUUUGUUUUGUUUUUCAUUCUGACCCACAAUCAGUGUAUUUUUGAGGUCCCUAUGCAAUGGCGACGGUGCCGUGAAGGGCAACUCAGCAAAAUAAAGCGGUGAUACAUUUUUUAACCGAUUUUUUUCUCAGAGGAGAAAAAUCUGAACAAUUUGGCCUAAGUUUCACUUUGUCCUUCUCUUAGGUUGAUCUCAUUUAAAUUCAGGGCCUACUUCCACUUAAGCAACUUCUUCUUUCAUUGUAUAGGUUCUUUAAUAUCCAACCUUUUUAAACUUAACUUGAAGCCUUUAAUUUAAAAAACUGUCCCAAUCAUCAUUUUCUUUUCAAUGUAUGCAGUUGCAUUUUAAACAUCCAUUUAACACACAAAAUGUGAUUUUUGAAAUUUUUUUCACUUUCAAACCCACCUGCUACAUACUCCCAGAGAGCGUUUUAUUUAAUUGCUUAAUAGAGAAGAUUAAGCAGUUUCUUUAAGAAUCCAAUUUCCCUUCAACAAGCACAACAGCAGCUGCCCAAGCUCCCAGAAACUAAGCAAAGGCAAGUAGCAGGCAGCGUUUUGCUUCACUAGAAUGAAUGUUAGUUGAAACCUUAAAUACCUCUUUAAAAGACUAGAUUAAAGAGAAUAAUGGGAAUAUUAAGAUACUCCGGUAGUUAGUUAAAAUAUUUUUUAAGGAAAACCAGGCAGAUAUACAUCUAUUUUGAUGAUUUGAUCCCACCUUCAAAGAGGAUCCCUGAAAAGAGUUUUAGUCACAAUUUGACAAAUUUUAAAUAAUUACUUUGUUUCAGAGUCAUGAGGAUGGAAAGAAGAUAGCCUGCGUUGAGUUGAAGUAAAGUAAAAAUAUUAUGAAUAUGUGUAACUAGGUGACAUCCUCUCUGCUGGGAAGAAUCCUUUUUUUUUUUUUUUUUUUUUUUCUGGUGACAGGUUCUUGCUCCAUCACCCAGGCUGGAGUGCAGUGGCAUGAUCUUGGCUCACUGCAGCCUCUCCCUUUCAGGCUCAAGCAAUCCUCCCACCUCAGCCUCCCGAGUGGAGGGGGAGCCACUGCAGAUCUGGAGCAAAUCAGCACCAGCCACUCCAGAGCCUGACCUACAUAGGACUCAGAAAGCAUUGUCUAUUGUGAUUGAUUAUUCCUGUGUUCAGUCCCAAUGGCCUAUUGAUUGGGGGUUUCUCUCCAAAAGGCUGCAUGGCUUUUCUUCUCUAAGUGAAUCUCCUUUAUAACCCAUAUUUUAUGUCUAUAUACCAAACAUGCUAUCCAUAUUUAGUCAAUGUCCAGUUGCUUGCAUGUAAGGGCAAUAGAGUAAUCAGAAAACUCUUCCCAGAAAGCCCCCGAAGACAAAACUAGUACUGGUAGAAAACUGGGCAUGCAGCUCUAAGAAACUCUAUGGGAAGUGAGGCUGGGUGGGGCACAGCUGCCCCAGCCUGGCACCCAUAUGGAGCAUCAGCAAGGAAGUAGGAACUUUCUUUUCAUCAUGCAUCCUUCUUAUCACUUCUCAGUUUCAAAGGGAAAGAAAAUUUGGUAAUCUGCAUUUUGAGACAUUAAGAAAAUAAAAUAAUUAAUGGCUUCAUGGUUAUAUGGCAUUUUUCAGAGUAUUGUCAGAAAAUCAUUUCGAACUGAAAUUUUCAUUCAAAAAUAUUUAUUGAAUGCCGGCUAUGUGCUGAAGAUUCUUAAGAUACAUCAGUGAACAAAUCAAAGUUCCCUGCUUUCUUGGAGCUUGCAUUCCAGCGGGAGGAGAGGAUUUGGAGGAAGAAUGGGAUAGACAAUAAAUCACAAGACCUCCUGCCACAGAGCAUGGGACCUGAUAUAUCCAGGCAGGAGAACUGGGUACCAGGAGACACUGUACAUGAAGUUUCCAGAACCAGCCAUGUCCAUCUUACUAAUCAAGACUCUCUCUGUUAAAUCUGCAACUCAAAUGACUUUAAGGAAAAAUGGAUUUCAUUGAUUCACAUAACCAUCACUCAAGGACUAACUUUCAACAUAGUGAGAUCCUGAGGCUCAAAUAUUAUUACCCGAAACAACCUUCAGUACAUAAGUAAUGGCUGCUGGAUGUAACUUGCAAUUGGGUGGCAGGUCGGCAAGGAAAGAAUUCCAAACAGAGGACUUUCUGAAAGCCUAAUUAUACAUAUUGAAUGUAACAAAAGGAAAAUAGUUUUUAAGGUAGCAAAUCCUAAAGAGAAUUUAGAUAAUUUGGGUGCUAUUCCUCACAUUUUUCUAUGGUUAAUUAGAGAGAGCUGGGAAACACACAAUGCUGCCCACAGCUCUGCCAACCCAUUAUGGGCACUUCUAAUUUCAGAUAAAUGAAGCCCUUGGUUACCACCCCCAGCUUGUCUUAGAACAUCCAUUGUAUUAUCAGAGUAGAUGAGUAAAAAUAAUAGCCUUCUGAAUAUCUAUAAAGGGUACCUUUCUCUUAUUAGUGGAUAGUUACAAGUUUAAAUCACGUCUCCAUGUUAAUGAAGCAACUCCCAAAUUUACUUUGCUCUUGAAAAUCUAGUUUUUCAAAUUUUCUGUUUUACACAGAAAAUGUGAUAUUUAGCUGAGUGGCUUAGUUAGAGCAUCAAGUGCUAGAUGUAUGUAACUUUAAAAAUUAGUAAUUAUGUGAAAUCUUAAGGUGUAUAUACAGAUACAUAUACAUAUCUUCUCUCUAGUAAAUAUCAUGUGCACUUGUCAUUUUAAAAGACAUUUCUAGCAGUAUAAUAUAUUGAUCCAAGUAUAUAUAAACUUAAAGAUAUGCUAAAAACAAAUAACCAAUUGGCAUCUUUAAAAUUCACCCUUCGUUAAAUGAAACCAUGAUGCUAUUUUUAAAAAACGAUAAUAUACGUAUAAUGAGAAAUAUUAAAUGUCAUGGCCUGGGCAAAAUUUGAAGAAGAAAAAACAUCAAGACAAUUGCAUUUAAGUUUCCAACAAGAGAUUACAUCACUAGGUUUAUUGUAUUUAUACAAAUAUAGUAGCAAUGUUUGCAAAAUGCCCCUAAAAUUCCUGAGUGAAAGCAGAAAUGAAGAACAUUUGCAUGAUUAUAAAUAUCAGGAUAUCUGAAAGCAUAAAGGUAUUUGGUUGAGUUUUUCCAUUGUCAUCCAGAUUUGAUUACAUAGAACAAAUUGAAGGCCUCUUAUUGUUUUGGUGUUUCAGAACUUAGCAAAGGGGCUGCCACUCAUUUCGGCUUUUUUCUUAAUUAUUCCAGGGUUCCAUGAACUGCUUCCUCUGACAUGAGAUCUAACAAGGCUAAAGACUAAAAUGCAGCUGUUUACAGCGUAAGUAGGAGGCCGUCCCGUGCAGUGCAAAAUCAACAGAGAGGAGACAGUCCUAUGCCUUCGAGAGACAGUCUGCUGAUACUGUCAUGAUGUCUAGUGACAGGCCAGAGAUCAAAACCCAACACCCUCAUUUACCUGACAGUGAUUUGGCCAAUCCCUUAACAUCUCUAAGAGCUUCAUUUUUCUACAAAAUUGAGACAAUAGUAUUUGUUUCAUAGUGUUACUGUCAGGGUUAAAUGUUAUACAUUAAGCAUUUAAUAUAUGCUGCUUGUUUAUCUAAAUAUUCAUGGUCAGGCACUAACUUCUUAUGUGACUCUGAGCAAUGCAUUCAUCUCUGUACCUGUUUCCUCAUCCAUAAAUUGGGAGUUGAACAAGGUGAGCCCUAAGUUUCGUUCCAACUUCAAUAUUCUAUAAUUCUUGCAACUUAUAUGGCCUCAGUUUUCUUAUCUUUAUAAUGGGCAUAAGAGUACCUACCUCACAGAAUUUUUGAGAGGAUAAAAUGAAUUAAGACAGGUAGAAAAUUCUUAGAACAGUGCCUGCCACAUUGGAAGUGCUUAAUAUGUAUUAGCUGUGAUGAUGCUGCUAAUGAUGAAGAUGAUAAUGACCCUAUUUGCAGAUAGUAUGGCAGCCAUAAAACAUUCAGUAUCAGAUUGAUUACAUUCUCUUAUUUUCUGAGUCAAUGCCAGAGCUACCAAGAUUUUAUUCUUUAAAGGUUCUUCAAGACUAAAUUCUUUUUACAUGAUAUGAUUAUUACACAUUGUAUGUCCGUAUCAGACCAGCCUGGCCAACAAGGUGAAACCCCAUCUCUAAAAAUACAAAAAUUAGCAGGGCAUGGUGGCACGCACCUGUAGUCCCAGCUACUCGGGAGGCUGAGGCAGGAGAAUCACUUGAACCCGGGAGGCAGAGAUUGCAGUGAGCUGAGAUCGUGCCACUGCACUCCAGCCUGGCAGAGUGAGACUCCAUCUUAAAAAAUAAAUAAAUAAAUAAAUAAAUAAAUCUCAUGUACUCCAUAGAUAUGGGGUACCUACUAUGUACUCACAAAAAUUAAUUUUUUUUUAGAAAAGCCUAAGCUCAUUUGCUUCUUAGUAAGAAUUAUGUUAAGAUUUCCCAGUGUAGAUACCCUAGGCUGCUAAUUUUUUUUCUUUUGUUAUCAGUAUCUUAAGAAAUUAAUUGGCCCGGGAGUGGUGGCUCAUGCCUGUAAUCCCUGCAGUUUGGAAGGCCAAGAUGGGAGGAUUGUUUGAGGCCAAGAGUUCAAAACCAGCCUGGGCAACAUAGUGAGAUACUAUCUGUAUAUAAAAUAAAAAAAUUAGUGAGGCAUGGUGUCAUAAGCCUGUGGUCCCAGCUACUUGGGAGGCUGAGGUGAGAGGAUUGCUUGAGCCCAGGAGGUCAAGGCUGCAGUGAGCUGUGAUGGUGACACUGCACUCCAGCCUGGGCUAUAGAGCAAGACCCUGUCACCCUCCUCAAAAAAAAAAAAAAAAAGCAAUUAAUUGAUUUAUUUAUGGCCAUUCUCUCUUUUUGUGAGCUGGAUAUGUGUUCACUUUCAUUCUAAAAACGUACAGCCCCCAAAGCCCACACAUGUUGUCAAAGCUCACUACAUUUACCUAGAGAGUUUCCUGUAGUCUCCUCUUUCAAGUAUUUUAAAUAAUGCGUAAUUUCUUCAUGUAACUGAAACAUGUUAAUGUUGAGUUGGCACAGGAAGAAAAGUUUUGAUUUACUCAGAACUGGGAUUUGUGUGGGUCAUUUCCUAGUCCUCCUAAGUAUUUAACAAAUGUAAAAUGUAACACACAAUUAAAUAAGCUACCCAAGCCAAAUGAACUGGUGAGUGCAUUAUAAAUAGCAACCAAAAUUAUUCUUCAGUUGUUAACUGGUAUGUCCUGAUUUAAUAAUGAAUUACAUCAUUUGACAAAUGAGAUAAGACUUCCACCUUUAGCUUUCUGAUCCAAACUUCUAAUAGUUGAAAUGUAUUAUUACCAUCUGGUGUCUGGCCUCUGAAAUGCCCUGGCGAUAUCUGCCUCAUUUCAAGUAGUUGGGGCUUGCAUAUGCCAGCAAAGCACUCUCCGAAGUGUCUUGAUUGGCAGGCCCAGAGAGAAGGCUAAGAACCGAAUGAACCAUGGAGAUAUAGCUCCAGCUCUGUAGAAGUUUCCUCUGGUUCAAGGCAGACUCAUUUUCUUAGUUUGUGCAGCAAAAAAAUUGUCAUGAUCGAAGUUGUUUUUAUUUUGGAUCUCAAUCCUGAAGGAUGCAAUUCCUAUACUUACCAAGAAUGUUUCCAUCUGUUUUAAAUUAUUUCACUCCUUUUACAAACUGGCAAUAAUUUUAACACCUUUUAUUUUCAGUGAAAAUAAUUCGAGAAUGAAGCUGAGAAUGAUACAUAAGCCUAGAGUUUUAACUCAGUGAAGUAAUAUGAUUCUGACAGUUCUUUAUUUUUUCCACAUUGUGUUAGAUUCCUAGUAAAAAGGGAAGAUGAAUCUUAUUGCUUUCAAAAACCUGACAAUAUGGUAUGUAGGACAGAAUGAACAUACAUAGAACAAUAUCCAAUAACACAGAUGAAGGUGUCAAAGCCAUUGCCAGACAGAGUGGUGCAGAUUGUGAGAUCAGUUUUCUUGGUAAGUGUUAUGGACUGAAUGUUGGUAUUCUCUAACAUUCAUAGAUUAUAAUCUAAUCCCCAAUGUGAUGGUAGCACUAUCUGGGGGUGAGACCUUUGGGAAGUAAAGGUCUUUUUCUCUCCACACCUGACCAAAAGUAGGAGCUCAACAAAUGUAUGUGCACUGAAAUGGAAUGGGGGCAAACAGCCUGGUGGUAUAGUACAAAGCAAAAUUUGGUUAUGGUAGGAGCAGUACAGAUACAUCUGGAUCACAAUCUAAAUUCUCUCCAGGGACCAAAUACAUAGAUUUACCCCUUGGGUUAUUGGUCUGGUAGACUCUUAAUUUUUAAUAGGGUUUAUAUAAUCUAGACUUCUUAUAACCUCUGCCCCACUGGAUAUAGGUAUUACUCAGUUGAAGUUAAAAAUUGAAUAUAGGAUUAUAUGCAAUGCUUUAUCUAUAACUUUCUUGUAAGGAUAAACUCAGUACAUCUCUGGUUUUCUAAUAUUUUGGAGGAAAUGUUACAAAUAGGUAAGGAAAGUUUGAGCCUCAUUUACGCAUGAGGGUGGACCCCUCCUGAAUGAGAUUAAUGUCCUUAUAAGAAAAGGCCAGAGAGCUAGCUCACUCUCUUUCAGCAUGUGAGGACACAAGAAGCCCAGAGUCUGCAACCUGAAAGAGGGCCCUCACUAGAACCCAAUCAUGCUGACGCUGUGAUCUUGGACUUUCAGGCUCCAGAACUGUGAGAAAUAAAUUUCUGUUGUUUAUAAGCCAUCCAUUUCAUGACAAUUUGUUAUAGUGGCCUGAACAAAGACAAUAGGUAUAAAAGAGAAUUGAUAAAGAUGAAAUUUAGGAAUACAAUUAGAAGUGAAAUGCAAAUAACAAGAGGGUGACCCCGGAGUAGAAAAGUGUCUGUGUCUGGUAGAUUUGAAUAGUUUACAAAUGCCAAGCCUGUGCAAAAUAGGAGUUACCAAUAUUAAUGGCUGCAUCAUUACAAGGUGUAUCCAAAAGACACUUAAGAUUAAGUCUGUGUUUGUCAGUGGGGAGGUGAGAGUAGGAAAUGUUAAAUAACCUGCCCUUUGUCACUCAGCCAACAAGUAAGAGAGCAGGGAAUCAAGUUCAGAUCUAAGUCCUCUAAAGUUAUUCCCCAAACUCCUCACAGCUUCACUUAAUAACCAUUUCCUGCUUUGGUUGACUUUACAAAGAUGACCAUACAUUUGAGAGCAAAAGGGGAAGCUAUGAAUCAUUACAUCUGGACAAAUGGCAUGAAUCAAGAUCAUCCACUGCCAACUAGAGUGUAUGUUCAUCUUCUGUCUAUAUAUCUUCAUUCCCAGACAUCUACCAGACAUCCAGUGACUUAUCUGAGAAGUACACUUGGAGGUCAGUUUCUUGGAGUAAAUUGAUCAAAGUGUUAAAAUUCUGGAAAGUUAUUGUAUUUUAAAAUAGUUCACACAAAAAAAUAGUACAAUGAAAUGAAUCACUAUUAGUGGAAUUUCAGGCCCUCAGGUACCUGAUAAUAAGAACUCUUUCAAAACAACAUAACUUUCCUGGUACCUGUCAAAUCACAAUUUCUAUAUGAGAUAUGGCCAGCUGGGUAUUCAAGGAUAAUUGGUCAGCUACUGUGAUGAUUAAUAUGGAGUGUCAACUUGUUUGCAUUGAAGGAUGCAAAGUAUUGUUCCUGGGUUUGUCUGUGAGGGUUGUAUUAGUCUGUUUUCAUGACACUGAUAAAGACAUAUCUGAGACUGGGCAAUUUACAAAAGAAAGAGGUUUAUUGGACUUUCAGUUCCACAUGGCUGGGGAGGCCUCACAAUCAUGGUGGAAGGUGAAAAGCACAUCUCACAUGGCGGCAGACAAAAGCAGAGAGCUUGUGCAGGGAAACUCUCAUUUUGAAAACCAUCAUAUCUCAUGACACUUAUUCACUAUCAUGAGAACAUCAUGGGAAAGACCUGCUCCCAUGAUUCAAUUACCUCCCACUGGGUCACUCCUACAACACGUGGGAAUUCAAGAUAACAUUUGGGUGAGGAUACAGCCAAAUCAUAUCAAGGGUGCUGCCAAAGGAGAUUAACAUUUGAGUCAGUAGACUGGAAGAGGCAGACCCACCCUCAAUCUGAGUGGUUACCAUCUAAGCAUCUGCCAAUGCAGCUAGAAUAAAGCAAGCAGAAGAAAGUGGAAUGAGAAGACUUGCUGAGUCUUCUGGUCAUCAUCUUUUCCCCAUGCUGGAUGCUUCUUGCCCUUGAACAUCAGACUCCAAGUUCUUCAGCUUUCAGACUCUUGGACUUAGAGCAGUGGUUUGCUAGGGGCCCUCAGGCCUUCAGCCACAGACUGAAGCCUGCACUGUCGACUUCCCUACUUUUGAGGUUUUGGUACUUGGAUUGGCUUCCUUGCUCCUCAGCUUACAGCUGGCCUAUUAUGGGACUUCACCCUGUGAUCGUGAGUCAAUUAUCCUAAUAAACUCCCCUUCAUAUAUACAUAUAUAUUAUUAGUUCUUACCUCUAGCGAACCCUGACUAAUACAGAUUUCUAGAUGUACAGAUGGAUUGAGAGGCAAACACUCUAAAUUAACAAGGCAGAAAUGAAAGAGCUGUUCUGCCCAAGAUCUUCAGCACUGCUCAGACCUCUAUAAGAAUUUCUUAUCCAGUUCAAAACUUAUCAACUUAAGAAAAAUAUAGAAAAUUUGUAAAGCAUUCAGAAGAAACUAAAGACUAAAGCAAAAUGAUAUGUUCAAAUACUUAACACUGCCAAAAUGUAAUGCAUUUCAAUAAAGUGAUAUAUGUCCUUAACUCACACAAAUUAAUAAAUGUCUAAUAGACAUACAUAUGGGAAGUGAAUAUCAAAUGCCUGUGUACUAUUUGUAUAAAAUCUAAGUUAAAACUCAUUUCCAUCCCAAAGAUGUGUGAUAUGUAAAAUAAUAUUCUACGUAUUUUGUUUAAUUUUGGGGGGUCAUUUAAGAUUUUUUUAUUUGCAGAAAAAAGAUGCUACAAACAAAAUUAAUGGGAAAAAACAAAAAUUAGUACCAAAAGAGGAAACGAGGACAAGGAAAAACACGAGCACAUAGAAAAAUGUAAAAAUACUCAAGCCAGGCUCAGAGAACCAGCAUCCCUGACAGCAAGUGUUGUUAAACAUCCACGUGGGUUGCUAAGGAAGGUUAGGGAAUCUCCCUUUCCCAGAAGUCUUUAAAAAUAGGAUAACAUCUGUUUGGAUGGGAUAAUGGUGGUACUGCUUGACUUGGCAGCUUCUUAAGCAAACCUAUGGUUUGGUAAUUCUACCAUUUCUAUUUCUGAUUUGAAAAGUAACAAAUAACUUCAGUUCACCUAGAAAAUUGGGCCUUAUAAUGACUUGUAAUAUUGUCUUAUAAAACUAUUUUCAUUGUCAUUAAUAGUGCAAAGGUAGAUAAUUGAGGUUUUCAGAGUAUACUUGAAUUUGCAGCCAAGGCUCAAACUUUCCUUAUCUAUUUGUAACAUUUCCUCCAAAAUAUUAGAAAACCAGAGAUGUACUGAGUUUAUCCUUACAAGAAAGUUAUAGAUAAAGCAUUGCACAUAAUCCUAUAUUCAAUUUUUAACUUCAACUGAGUAAUGCCUGUAUUCAGUGGGGCAGAGCUUAUAAGAAGUCUAGAUUAUAUAAACCCUAUUAAAAAUUGGAGUCUGCCAGACCAAUAACCCAAGGGGUAAAACAUAUAUAUUUGGUCCCUGGAGAGAAUUUAGACUGUGAUCCAGAUGUAUCUGUACUCCUCUUACCAUAACCAAAUUUUGCUUUCUACUAUACUACCAGACUGUUUGCCCCCAUUCCUUUUCACUGCACAUAUAUUUGUUGAGCUCCUACUUUUGGUCAGGUGUGGAGAGAAAAAGCCCACAGUCCCUGCCCUUGAGGAACACAUAAUCCAAAAAAAAAUGCAUGGGUGGCUCCAGGUGUUGUAGGGUCUUAGGCAAGUAUAAUUUUGGACAUGCAUUUUAAGAAAAAGAAUACAAAAUUACAAAUGCAGAAUUACUAAUAAAAGUGAAUAUUUAUUGUAUAGAGAAAAUUAAUCACAACAAAUUACAAGUUUUAGCAUUCUCACAAAUGCCAGAAAUACCACAAAAUCUCAGAAAAAAACCUAUAUUUUGUAUUAAUUAGCUGACUGAUCACAUGUAUAAUUCUACGUGUUCUACUUUUGGUUGCAUAUUGUUGACCACAUGAGAAAAAUUUCUUUAUUUACUUAUUCAGAUGGAGUUUCGCUCUGUCGCCCAGGCUGGAGUGCAGUGGCGCUAUCUCAUCUCACUGCAACCACUGCCUCCCAGGUUCAAGCGAUUCUCCUGCCUCAGCCUCCCGAGUAGCUGGGACUACAGGGGCAUGCCACCAGGCCCAGCUAAUUUUUGUAUUUUUAGUAGAGACGGGGUUUCACCAUGUUGGCCAGGAUGGUCUCAAUCUCUUGACCGCAUGAUCCACCCGCCUCGGCCUACAAAAGUGCUGGGAUUACAGGCGAGAGCCACCACGCCAGGCCAAGAAUUGUUUAUAUUAUUUUCUAUACAGAGAAAACAGUGAUAAUUUAUUCAGUCAUUCCUUUGGCAUGAUUGAAAUUUGUUUUCUUUCUGGCUCACAACUCUUUAAUAAUUAUAAGUAAGUUUUCAGGAUUGUUGUCAAGUACAGGAAAACUUCAGUCAAAUUUCUUUCAUAUAUGAACUGCAAGAGCUAUAAGAUUUCAGGGCAUUGAUAAUUUUCUUGCAUGUAAGUAAUUUUAAAUACUCUUUCAAUUGAUGUUACUCAUUAACCAGCUUGUCACUGGUGUCCUUGUUGUAAUGGUGUAGUGUGAGUUCAAUUUUAUCUCUGUCAAUGUCAGGAUUGUGUAUCAAAUUUGAAAGAAAUUUAAGUAUUUUCUCAAAGAGUUCAUGUGAUUCAGUCCUCUGGGUUAAAUGUGUUAUCAAAAACUAAAAAGCCCAUUCAGUACUUCCCUCUUCCUGUUAAUGAAUUAUUGCUCUUUGUAUUAUCUAAAAAUAUUUCUGUUACAAUUUACUUCUUGAUGUCAAAGUGAUUUCUAUUUGACUUUAUCUCUCAAUUGUUUUUUCAUAUCCUAUCAAAUUUCAUCUGCAUUUUCUCCCAGUUUCUUAUUACAUUAAUUCAUAGAUGACAAAAGAGUUACUCUUCAUAUAUGCCCAUAUUAGGAGUCAUUGAUUUCUGUGGGUUUUUAAUUGAAAAGAUCCAAAACAUCUAUGCAAAUUCCAGUUAAAAUGAAGUAUUUAUGUCUUAUUAAUUUUUUGAAUAAUCUGUUCACUUCUUGUUUUUGUUACUCUUCCAUGACUUUAAAAAUAUAUUUCAGGGUCAUUAAAUUGCACUGUACAAUGUUUUAAGACUUGAGAAGCUUUAGUGUGGGCAAACCAAACCAUGUUGUUACCUUUAGACUCUUAAAAGAAAUACUCUUGUUGGCAUUUUAAAAGUUGAGGUAAAAUUACCAUUCAAUAAAAUGUACAUAUCAUAGUGUUCAGCUCAAUGAGUUUUGAAUAGGCCAGGCGCAUUGACUCACUCCUGUAAUCCCAGCACUUUGGGAAGCCAAGGCAGGUGGAUCAUGAGAUCAGGAGUUCAAGACCAGCAUGACCAACAUGGUGAAACCCCGUCUCUGCUAAAGAAUACAAAAAUUAGCCAGGCGUGGUGGCACGUGCCUGUAGUCCCAGCUACUUGGGAGGCUGAGGCAGGAGAAUCGCUUGAACCUGGGAGGCGGAGGCUGCAGUGAGCCGAGAUAGCACCACUGCACUCCAGCCUGGGCGACAGAGCGAGACUCUGUCUCAAAAAGACAAAACAAAUAGAGGGCAUUUCCAGCAUCCAGAAAGUUCCCUUUCUCAUCCGUACCCCCUUCCUCAUCCAUCCUCACCCCCAGAGCAACCCUUUUCUAAUUCUGUCACCAUAAUACAUUUCGCCUACUCUCAGACUUCACAUCAGUGGAAUCACUCAGUAUGUAAUCUUUUGUGUCUUAUUUUGCUCAGCAUGAUUUUGAGAAUCAACCACAUUGUUGCAUGUAUGGACAGUUUGUUCUGUCUUAUUAUGAAGUGUUAUUUCACUAUAUAAAUAUACCAUUAUUUGUUUAUUCAUUCUCCUAUCGAUGGACAUUUAGGUUCUUUCCAGCUGGGGCUGUUAUUAAUAAGGAUGCUUUGAAUGUUCUUAUACAAGUCUUUGCAUGGACAUGUGUUUUCAUUUCUCUUGGCUACCUAUCUGAGAAUACAAUUGUUCAGUAAUAGAGUAGAUAUAUGUUUAACUUUAUUAGAAACAUGGCAUAUGUAUUUUACGUACUCCCUCUAUAAGAAAAACACAAAAACAAGACAUGUAAUUGUUGCACAAUACUGAAGUGGCCCAAGAAUUAGGGUUCCUUAAAGGAAGCCUUCUUCCACCUGUAUUGAUCAUCCAUGGUAUUGAUCAUCCAUGGCUCCUCACCAGGCAUCAUUCUUUGGGUCAGCUAGGCAGAAUGACUUGCUGCUCCCUGAGUAUGUGAUGCAGUCUCUUCCCUAUGAGUCUCCCUACUAGGUACUUCCUCUGACUGGCUGCUCUGCUCUCAUCCUUUACCUGCCCUGUCUAAUCUUAAAGACUGGAUUUAAUCAUUUUCAUCUCUGGGAGGCCUUUCAUACCACCCUCCCCAAACCCCCAUCAUCACUGUCAAGGUUGAAUUAAGUGUCUCUUCUCUGUGCUCCCAUAGAAACUCAGGUUUUUCUCUAUAACUGCUAGUCUAUUUGUCUAUCUCCACUGCUAGACUAUAAGCUCCCUAUGGGUGGAAUCCUGUUCACUGUUAUGAUCUAUUGCCUAGCAAAGUUCUUGACCCAGAAUAGGUGCCUGACAAGUAUCAAUUGAAUCCAUGAAUAAAUAGUUGAGCAGGUUUGAUGUUGUUGGCAUUGGGUGAAGUUUAUUUAUACUUUAUGAUAUUCAGGUAGAAAUAGGUUGUUAGUUGUAUAGGUCUGGAGUUCAAAUAUUGGGCUUACGGGCAGGAGGAGGACAAGAGGUAUGGAUAUGGGAACUCCCCUUACUUUCAGUCACAUUGUAUACAGGUAAGAACUGAAAGUUUGGGAUUCAAUACAAAUACUUGAGGAAAGUUUCCAGUUUUGAAGAUAAUUAAGAGAGAAUGAGAGAAGGGGCCAAAUUGCAGUAGAUUAUGGUGUAAAUGAAAAGAGAAGGGGAGAAAUGCAAACAGUAUAGACAGAUAAUUCAAGAAUUUUGGUGCUGAGAUUCCAAGUAGAGCAAUUACAAUAUGUCCCAACAAACAGAUGAGAUUGGAUAAUGUUGUUUCUUUCACUUUUAUUUUUGUUAGUUUAAGAAGGAAAAGACAGCUAAGACUAUCGAAGGACCAGUGUCAUUGGACAGAGGAAAUUCUGUGACAGGUAUGAGAAGAUACAAAUGAGACAAAUUUAGUUCAUAUAAAGUUUUUACUGAGGUCUCACACCAUUAAGUCAUGAUAUGAGUUGGUUGGUUUGUUUGUGUCAUGAAUAGGGACUGCCUGAC
rnacentral:lncRNA from 1 species